CUGGCCUACGGGAGGCAGCAGUGGGGAAUAUUGCGCAAUGGGCGAAAGCCUGACGCAGCGACGCCGCGUGAGGGAUGAAGGUCUUCGGAUCGUAAACCUCUGUCAGCAGGGAAGAACGGUCACUGUGCUAAUCAGCAGUGAAUUGACGGUACCUGCAAAGGAAGCACCGGCUAACUCCGUGCCAGCAGCCGCGGUAAUACGGAGGGUGCGAGCGUUAAUCGGAAUUACUGGGCGUAAAGCGCUCGUAGGCGGUCCGGAAAGUCAGCGGUAAAAGCCCGGGGCUCAACCCCGGCGAGCCGUUGAAA
rnacentral:rRNA from 1 species